rnacentral:rRNA from 1 species
GACGAAGGGGGCUAGCGUUGUUCGGAAUUACUGGGCGUAAAGAGCGCGUAGGCGGUUUGGUAAGUUGGAAGUGAAAGCCCGGGGCUUAACCUCGGAAUUGCUUUCAAAACUGCCAGGCUAGAGUGUAGUAGGGGAUGAUGGAAUUCCUAGUGUAGAGGUGAAAUUCUUAGAUAUUAGGAGGAACACCGGUGGCGAAGGCGGUCAUCUGGGCUACAACUGACGCUGAGGCGCGAAAGCGUGGGGAGCAAACAGGAUUAGAUACCCUGGUAGUCCACGCUGUAAACGAUGAGUGCUAGGUAUCGGGAGAAUUUCUCUCGGUUCCGCAGCUAACGCAUUAAGCACUCCGCCUGGGGAGUACGGUCGCAAGAUUAAA